ACAACAAGAAUAAAAACCAGGCAAGACCCCAUAACAAAAACAAGAUUCAGCUCCACACCUAACAAAAACAAAACGUGCGAGUGUAGCAAACUGAUUUUUUUGGAGAAUAGGAAGCACCGCUGGCGAACGUAAUGUUCGAUUGGAAACCGAGAAGAAUAAAAGUUGCCUGAGCAACCGACCGGUACCGAUGCCAAGCUUGGCCAAAGCAGCUUCCCGAGCAUCCAAAGCAAUCCGCUUGCUUUAGGCAACCCGGGAUGGGUUUAAACGGGGUGACACUGUCGCCCAGCCCAAAAAAACAAGAAACAGCUCAAAUAACAACAACAAAAAACCAUUAGGGGGAGUGAAUACUCCCCUUGAGCUUUCCCGCAAUACUCCCAGCAGUAUCUU
rnacentral:sRNA from 1 species